rnacentral:rRNA from 2 species
CGACGAACUCUGGUAUUGAUUGGUGCUUGCAUCAUGAUUUACAUUUGAGUGAGUGGCGAACUGGUGAGUAACACGUGGGAAACCUGCCCAGAAGCGGGGGAUAACACCUGGAAACAGAUGCUAAUACCGCAUAACAACUUGGACCGCAUGGUCCGAGUUUGAAAGAUGGCUUCGGCUAUCACUUUUGGAUGGUCCCGCGGCGUAUUAGCUAGAUGGUGGGGUAACGGCUCACCAUGGCAAUGAUACGUAGCCGACCUGAGAGGGUAAUCGGCCACAUUGGGACUGAGACACGGCCCAAACUCCUACGGGAGGCAGCAGUAGGGAAUCUUCCACAAUGGACGAAAGUCUGAUGGAGCAACGCCGCGUGAGUGAAGAAGGGUUUCGGCUCGUAAAACUCUGUUGUUAAAGAAAGAACAUAUCUGAGAGUAACUGUUCAGGUAUUGACCGGUAUUUUAACCAGAAAGGCCCCGGCUAACUACGUGGCCGGCACCCGCGGUAAUACGUAGGUGGCAAGCGUUGUCCGGAUUUAUUGGGCGUAAAGCGAGCGCAGGCGGUUUUUUAAGUCUGAUGUGAAA